ACCGGCGUAGCUCAGUGGUAGAGUAGCGGUCUCCAAAACCGUUGAUAGAGGUUCGAUUCCUCUCGCCGGUGCCA
rnacentral:tRNA from 1 species